CCUCCACAGUGCUAUAGUUCUAUGACUGCCAGAUGCCAAUCUAUUGGUCUGUAAUGACUGAAUUUCCAAGACAGAUUUGUUGACCAGUUUCUGGAGGCAAUCAAAUGGGACACAUGAACUUCUUCAUGGAUCAAGCACCAAUGGCACACAACAAUCAGACAUCAUUAUAUGGAGCAGCAAAAGGAAGGAUGUUUUCCUGGUUAAUCUUUUUUUAGAAACAGAUUUCUACAAGCAACAGUCUUUUCAUAUUUUUUGAAUAAUCCCCCUUGCAAAAGAGAUUAUUUAACUUUGAAAUGCAGCUGCUGCAUACCCUUCUUAACUACUCUCCAGAGCAAUUUUCCACUCCACAUUGUGCCCAGUCAUAUAUAUGCUAUCUUGCAAAAAGCCUGGUCCUCUGCCAAAGUCAAUUGAGAAAUUUAAUAGGUUCUUGGGAGUUGCUAAUGAAAUAUAUCUUUCCCCAAAACUUUUACUAUUGAAAAUAUCACAUGUGACAGUUUUUCAACAGUUAAUUUAAAAUUGGGUUGUACAUCUGAGACCUACCCCAGGCAGCAAGUUGAGCCUUUCAAAUUGCUCAUCUAUGAGCAUAUUUAACAUUAAAUGGCAAGAUAGGAUCAUAGAAUCCCAAAAUUAUAUUUAAAUAACCUUGUUCUAUCAACUUGGAAGAUAGUUGAGAACAGGAUAUAUAAACAGUAACUUGGUGAAAAAUAUAUGAUAGAACAAAGAGUAGGAAAAGAAAUGCUAUACACCAAGACUCACAAAUUUUUUUUUAAGUGCUAUUAUAAGGUUCUGACUUCUUUCUUUCCAUUGGGUAGUACAGGAGAUAGUGGGAAUAUGGUACACAAGCUAGUCACUGGAAAGAAUAGGGAAUAUGAUGAAAUUGUAACAUACUUCAUACUGAAAAUUAAUGUAGCUAAAAUGGUACACACAUACCACAGGUUGCCAUUACUUGGUAUGCUUAGAGCAAUACAGACAAAAACUAGAAGAUACCUCUUAUAGGCUAUGUUUUAUUUUUAAAUCAAGAAAUUAAAUGAAAUCAUUCUCAAGAUGUAUUUACUUCUUUCUAGAAACUAAAGUUCUGACUUUCUCAGCAUCCUAAGUCAUAAAAGCCUAGUCCAUGGAGUUGGAACUCCUGGAGUUGAUAUGUUGAUAGACAUUUCACAGAGUUAAAGUCAACACACUUUUCUGACCAAAUACAACACUGGCCAGUGCAGAUAUAAGAGGAAAAGUGCCCAACUAAUCCAAUAAUCAAUUUGU